rnacentral:lncRNA from 1 species
UGGAAAUGAAAAUAAAAGAAUAGGUAGUGGUGUCAAAUACUGGAAAGAGGUCGGGCUUCAUAAAGUAGGAGCAGAAAUUAAGUUGUAGCAGAUUGUGGAGCGAAUGGAAAUUUAGGAAGAAGAAAGAGUAAAUGUGAACAAUUAAACGUGGCCCCGGAAGCGGUGGCUCACCCCUGUGAUCCCAACAUUUUGGGAGGCCGAGAUGGGCGGAUUGCUUGAGACGGGAGUUUGAGACCAGCCUGGGCAACAUAAGGAGACCCUGUCUCUACUAAAAAUACAAAAAUUAGCUGGGUCUGAUGACGCGAGCCUGUGGUCCCAGCUGCUCGGGUGGCUGGGGUGGGAAAAUCGCUUGAGCCCGGGAGGCAAAGCUUCCAGUGAUCUGAAAUUGCGCCACUGCACUCCAGUCUGGUCGACAGUGAGACCCUGUCUCAAAAAAAAAAAAAAAAAAAAGAAAGAAGAAAAGAAAGAGAAAGAGAAAGGUGGCCUACGAAAAGAAUGGUUGGAUGCUUAGUAAUGGGGGAAGCUUUAUUAUUUUUUCAAUUAUUUUUAAGACAGGAGGAGACAAAUUCUGACAAGAAUUGAGCUAAUAGAAAGAGAGGGGUUAAAAAUGCAAGAGGAUAUUGGAUGGAGUUGGGAUCCUGAGAAGGCAGGAUCCAGUGGUUAAGUAAAAGGAUUGCAGGAUUGCGUUUAAGCCUGUGGAUGGACACCUCUUUGCAUUAUUAUAGGAAGAAGAAAAAGAGUGAAUGGACGAUGACGAAGUAGAGAAGUGUCUGAGGCUGCUACUUCUAGGAAUAGCAGA